AGGGCCACACCUGUGGCAUAAGGAAGUUCCCAAGCCAGGGGUCCAAUCAGAGCUGCAGCCGCUGGCCUACACCACAGCCACAGCAACAUGGGAUCUGAGCCAUGUCUGUGACCUACACCAUGGCUCAUGGCAAUGCUAGAUCCUUAACCCACUGAGCAAGGCCAGGGAGUGAACCCACAACCUCAUGGUUCCUAGUUGGACUUGUUUCUACUGUGCCACAACAGGAACUCAUGACAUUGUUUUAACUCUUGCCUAAGUCUGGAAUAAGGCUCUGACAUAUCCUUUGGUUUUGUUGAGGCAGCGGACUUUGACCCCCUAGCCUGGGGCAGCAUGCUUAUGCCUACAGCCUAACCCUCCUGUUCUGAUUCUGCCAGCAGCAUCAGUGUGCUGGUGCCUGCGUGGGGCUCUGCACCCCUCCCCUCCCAUGUUAACUCCGUGAGCAGAGGCAGUGCCCUUGUGCCUGGGUGGUGGCUCUGCUCCUCUCCCCCACCUGCACUCCCCUGGCAGCAACAGCAGUGGCUGCUAUGGCUGGAGGGGUGCCAGCACCAUUUGGGGGAUUGUAAGGUGGUGGCAGUGAGCCAAGGGGGUCCCAUGGAGGGGAGGAGGCCCCAAAAUGUUCUUGGGUUUCCUUAUUUCCCUUUUGGUCCCAUGAUCUGAGGGGAAAUAAGACCACUGGUCCCCUGCUGCCAACAGAGAGCAUAAUAAGUUUCCUUCUGAAACCCCAGUGACUUGUCCUGGACAAACUGAGCAGCUGACAGACCCAAUCAUUGUCUGACCUGAACUUUGGCCAGAAGACAGAUGGGGCGAUAACAGUGUCUGUGUCCAGAUAAAACAAUAUUUAUUCUUUCCUUCUUUUUGUCCUUCAUCAAUGGAUUGUUGCCCCAACACUUUAAUAUCAAUCCCAGAGGAAGGUCUGGAGGAACUUGGUCCCCUCCCCCAGGCAAUACUCCAAAUGGAGGUACAGGUCAGGACGACUUACUUCCCAUUUCCCAGGAUCAUGUUAUGAUCCUCUGAUUUCACCUGAAAUCACUGGUCUCACCUGAGACACUUUGAGGCUUACCAACCCCCAUCCCCAACCAAUCAAAGAUCUUUCCUGCCUUGGUCCAUUAAUGGAGUUGCCUGGUCAUCACACAAUUUCCCACGUUGUGGAGAACCCUCCACAGGUUUGAAGUUCACAGGUGCAGUCUUCUCAAUUUAGGGCCACCACAACAGGCUGUGGGAUGCGUCUCCCCUCCUCAAGAAUCCGCACUCUAGUGAACCCCAAAUCCUAGAUGAGCCCCCAAAUCUGUUAGGGACAUGGCUCAGAUGGUCAAUAUCGAAAAAUGAGACAUAUGAACACGGGGAGAUCUCUACAAGGUUCUUUACAUCUGCAGAAGGGUGUGGGUGCUCAAAGAGUGUGUGCAAAGAAGCAAAGACUCUCACUCUUUAUCCCUAGCAGGUGAUGUACCGGUCCCCUUCCCAUUGGUCAGGUCGGGGUGCACAUUCUUCUCAGUUGGCUAAUUUGAAACAAACUGUUACUGGGAGAAGAGGGAAAGAGGUGGGGGGACUGCAGAAAGGCAUUUCAGCUGAAAUGAGAGCAAAAUGGAAUGACCAAAAGUUCCUUUGAUAGAAAAGACAUUAUGGUACUUUCCACAUCAUGUUGACAGUGGCAAAGUCUGUUGUCCAGAAAACAGAAAAUACCAGUUUUAGUUUUUGGUGUUGUUCUACUAGUAGUUUUGAGGUUCCCCCCAUAUCCCUGACCCGGCAGCUAUUGACCUGCCAAAUUGAGUAAAACUUGGUUUUGUGAUCUUAGUGAACUUGAGUUGGCUCUGAGAAAUGUAUCCAUUUAAGUUGUGCUGAUCUAAUCCAGUCCCUGGUCCACUGUGCAGUCAGAACACAGAUGCAGAAUCAUCAGUAUAUUUGUACCAUAGAAGCCCAUUGGGUGAUAAGCAGAUAACCUGUCCUGAUGUAACCCAUACAUAUUUCAUCACCAUCAACUAUCUCACUUUUUUUUUUUUCUUGUUUCUUUGAGAUAAAGGGUGUAACUUUAGUAAAGCAGUUAUGAAGUGUUAGGUUCCUAGGAGGUCUGACUAUAUAAUAAAUAAAAUUAUUUUAUUUCUUUGGUUGUCAUUCUCUGUUCUAAUUUCAGCAAGCUCCUCAAAGUAUUGUACCCAGAACUGUCAAGAUUCCUGCAUAACCAAUCACCUCUUCAAUUCAGUUACUAUAUUUCUAUUCAUGAAAUAUAAGAUCCCAUUAGCUCUGUUGGAGCUAUACCACACUAUUGAUUGGUAUUGAUGUCCUGUCAAGUAAAACCUGCAGUCUCUUUUUAUACAUGCUAUUGCUAAGUGAUCCUAUCCUUUGUACAGCUGGCUUUUUGAAUGUGAGGACAGGACCUUACAUUUUUCCUUUUAAAAUGCUUACUAGUUUUGGUCCUUUACUCUUUGUUGUCCAAAUACUGUGGAUUCUUUACUCUGUAACACAAACUAUGUACCAAGCCUCUCUGAUUUCUUGUCAUAUACAAAUAUGGUGGAUCUAACUACUUUAUAGUUUUCAAGUUAAAAUGUGAAUAGGUUAUAACUACUGAAGUAAACAGAACUGAAUUCAGAUCCUAAAGGGAUAUGCUAGAAUCCUCUCUUUAGGUUGACACCAUUGUAUACCGUCCUUCACUUAGUUAUUAAUCUAUAUCUUUUAUCAUAAGUUCACACUGAUGUGUCAGUCACCGAAGUCUUAUGAGUAGUGCUUUGAUCAAAAUCAAUCUACUGCUUUUCUUUGAUCUAUUCCUCUAAUGCUGUUUUAAAAAGAGUGUAAACUGUGACAUAGUCUUAUAAAUGUUUGCUGCAGCCUAAAUAUAAUAAAACUGGACACAUUACAUUCACCCUCUAACUGCUUUUCUUGGACAUUUCUAAUCUCCAUUCGUGGAAUUAUCAAAAAGAUGCUUAAAGAUAACAGAAAUCCCUCCCUUCAUGGGUACUAUACAUACAUACAUACAUACAUAUUAUUCUUAUCCCUUCCCUGAAAAAAAUCCCAGAGGUUUUCCUGAGUUUCUCUUUAUAAUGUUUAAUCUAGUCCUGUCUUCUUCAGAUAAUUCCUCUGCAUCCAGUCUUUGUACUCUUCAAUUUUGAUCUAAAUAUAGCUAGCUCAACUUAUUUCCUCUGAGGUCUAUGAUCUGAUAAUUAAAUUGAUGAAAAUAUCAUGGACAAAUAGGUGCUACCUAACAAAAAUGAUAAUAGCUUAAAUGUACUAAUUUAUGGAUGGGCUAAAAUUCAAAUGUGUGUUCAUUUAUAUAUAUAUAUAUAUAAAUGUGUGUGUAUAUAUAUACACACCCACACAUAUUAUCAUAUAUAGGCAUAUAUAUAUACAUGCAUAUUUUAAAUUUUAUUUAUAUCAUAAAACAUAUGACUUAGAAUAAUAAUAGGGAUAAACUCUGAUACUACCCCCAAUCUAACAAAUUAAUUUCAAAUUUAUUCACAAGGAUAGUCCAACAAAAGAUUUAUUUAAAAGUUAAGUUUAUAUCUUUGUAUGAGUUGGUCAUUUCACACUUGUUUGAAUAAUAUAUACUCUUUCUCAAUAAAUUAUACAUAGUAUGCUUUAUAAAUGCUUCGUUUUCACUUUUUAGCUACAAUUUUCAUGUCAGUAAUUAAACUAUCAAUAUAUGUUGGGUUCAUUGAAUCAGUGGCUUAGGCAUUUCCCUUCCCUAUAGAAAAUG
rnacentral:lncRNA from 1 species